AUUGGAGCAACUUUAACUUUUAACCCCUGUAUGAAGUGAAACUGACCUUUGUCACCAUUUUUGCUGUUUUUAUUUCAUAACUCCAGAACAUUCAGUCAUAGACAGUCCAAACUAUACCUUUUGUGAAUCAUUAUAAUCAGAGAAAUAAUCUGAUAUUCAUGAUU